UCUGCCCUCCAUCUUUCCCAACAUCAGGGUCUUUUCCAGGGAGUCUUCUCUUCUCAUGAGGUGGCCAAAGUAUUGGAGCCUCAGCUUCACGAUCUGUCCUUCCAGUGAGCACUCAGGGCUGAUUUCCUUAAGAAUGGAUAGGUUUGAUCUUCUUGCAGUCCAUGGGACUCUCAAGAGUCUCCUCCAGCACCAGAAUUCAAAAGCAUCCAUUCUUCGGCGAUCAGCCUUCUUUAUGGUCCAGCUCUCACUUCCAUACA